GUCCAGACUCCUACGGGAGGCAGCAGUAGGGAAUCUUUCACAAUGGGCGAAAGCCUGAUGGAGCAACGCCGCGUGCAGGAUGAAGGCCUUCGGGUUGUAAACUGCUUUUAUAAGCGAGAAAUAUGAUGGUAACUUAUGAAUAAGGAUCGGCUAACUACGUGCCAGCAGCCGCGGUAAUACGUAGGGAGCGAGCGUUGUCCGGAAUUACUGGGUGUAAAGGGAGCGUAGGCGGGCGAGAAAGUUGAAUGUUAAAUCUACCGGCUUAACUGGUAGCUGCGUUCAAAACUUCUUGUCUUGAGUGAAGUAGAGGCAGGCGGAAUUCCUAGUGUAGCGGUGAAAUGCGUAGAUAUUAGGAGGAACACCAGUGGCGAAGGCGGCCUGCUGGGCUUUAACUGACGCUGAGGCUCGAAAGCGUGGGGAGCAAACAGGAUUAGAUACCCUCGUACU
rnacentral:rRNA from 1 species